UCAUGCUCAAGCAAGUCGCAUUUGAAAUACAUGGGAGGCGAAGAAGAAUUGACAACAAUCUCAUCCUUCCUUUGAAUAAGUUCUCGAAGCUUGGGAUAGUCCUCAACAACACUGGUAAGUUCUAGUUCCCUGAUAAAAUUUUGAGGCCUCGUGCCAGUGUCUACAAAAUUUUGGGAGUAGUCAUUCUGCUCACCCCUAGAAGGAGCUUUUCCAGGUGGGGCAUUAGUUCGAGGAGGCACCCAACCAGCAUUAGCUUUAUCUUUAACCUGUCCACGACCUCCUGGUAUUAGGCCAUUAAAAUUUGGACCAGACAUAUUUGGCGGUGUCCCUCUUCCAGGGCCUGAUUGAUUAAAAUACAUUGGAUUCCCCAAAUUAGGAGGAAAUCCAGUCCCAGCAAGCACAGGUGAGAGUCCAGGUGGAACACCUAGCAUAUUCAUCUCAAGACCUCGGGCUCCAGGCCAAACCACAGGAGGUGAAAAUGGAGGAAUGAAAACACCAGGGAGUGGACCUGGAGCAGGUGACAUGUUAGGAGCUAAAGACUGCAAAGUUCCAGGUGAUGGCAUUCCAAGUGGUCCAAAAGGUGAUCCCAUCAUUGGCAUUGGAGGUCCGAACUGGUGGCCAUCUCUUCCUGUGGGCCUCCCUCUUCCUCCUCUCCCAACCCUACUUCCUUUAGAACCCAUUGGAACAUCUCUAUUGAAGGACGAUGGUUCCUGGUUUCCAUAUGGAGGUUCUGAAGCACUAUUGGAAGUUUGGCCCAAGGCAGAUCGAACAGAUGCGUCUCCUUUCUGGGGCCUUGAUUCAGUUUCAUCCCUAUAUGAACCAUCACCUGAUGUAUUCUUUAUAUCUUGAGCAGAUUGGCCUGACCAAUUCAUGUUUCUUCCCCUGUCAUCCCUAGGAAAGGCAUUGUUAUCGUCAUCCGGAAGCAAUCUUGCAUCAAAAUUCUGAUUAAAUUCAGUUGUUCUUGCUACGGCAGAUAUGGCCUUCUCCUUAUCAUAGUCAAACGGCCUGGUUUGGAUCUCUAUGACAUCAUAAUUUUCAUUUGAAAUUCCAUAUUUUGAUGAAGUUUUCAAAGCUUCUGUCCUAUUUCCAUCUUUUCUACCACCAGAACGAGGCCUUUCAUUGUCAAUCCACCCACGUCGGGGCAUUUCCCACUCUCUUCCAUGUUCAUAAGAUGUCUCACCUUCUUUUAUUUCCUUGUCAACAAAGUUCCCUUGCCUUCUUUUCCACCCAUCUUUGGACCCAUCCCUAAACCUGUUUCUAUCGCUCCUGCCAUCAUCCCUUCCUUUUGAUUUAUCAUCUCUCGCACCAUCUUUUUCUUGUUCUUUCCUCCUGAAAGUAUCUCUUUUUUCAUAUUCCAUCUCAACGCUUUCUAAAUUGUAAUGGCGUCUUCCAUCCUUCUCAGGUGUCCUGGACCUAUCAGAGGAGUCCAACUCUCUCCUAGUUCUCUCUCGCACCCGUGAGCCACCGUCAUCACCUGCGGCUGCAGACCUAUCACGGUUUUCCGCAAUGUCAUGACUUGUGGCACCUUUUCGCUGUCUAUGCUCCUCAAAUCUCUCUAUGCUCAAUUUAUCGUCCCGUAUAGAAAAUGCUCCUCCUCUGUCUUCCUCUAUAGCAUACGACCUGCCUUUCUUACUCCUAUCACAGUCAAUUUUUCUCUCGUCACUUUCUGGGUAUUUACCAUUCUUGUCUCUAUUCGACUCUUCAAGGCUAUCUAACAACACAUGACCCCUUUCUGUGGUACUGUCCUUUCUUUCCAAAUGUCUAGAAUCCCUUUCCAGUGCAUUUCCAGAGUCCCCACCAUGUAGCUUCUCAUUAUUACCUUUAUUUCUAGUCUGAGAACCAUCACCAUCAGAAAACCUGGAAGUUGAUUUCCUUCUGACACCUUCAUUAGCUAGGAUUUGUCCUCUAUCCCCUGUUUUAUCUCCAUUAUCAUACUUUCCCCCAAGUUCUCCAUCCCGAUACCAAUUGCUCAAUGUCUCCAAUGUAUUCUCACCCUGUUUCUUCUUUGUCAAUUUGGACCGCAAGUCGUUUUCAGCCUCAUAGUCAUCCUCAUCAAUAUCAGCUAUACUUGAUCCUACUGAUCUUUUCCGACUCUCAUUUCUUUCCAAUGUACUUCUCCUUCUUCCAUUACUAUCUAAACCUUCAGUUUCUUCACUGUUGCCAGGCCUUGACUUACUUGACCUGUAUUUUCUCUUAUCAUCCCCUUCCCAGUCAUCGUCAAGCUUUAAGUUAGGGUCAUCCUGUUUGAGAUAACUCCUUCGUCGUUCAGGGGAAGCCAUCAACAGAGAAUACCCUCACUAGAUGAUUUUCAGCACUUCAUUGAAUGAUGCAAUACCAGAUAGCCUCCUGAGAGAUAGAGAGAAAUGGAGAAAAUGAUUGAUGAGCUGACCUUACUGUGAAUCUUAAUCAUAAUAUAAGACACAUACAAAAUAUCGUAAUUAUAAGAGACAAUAAGGUACCAUGGGAGAGAGAAAUACGGAGAAUAAACUAUGCAGGUUAAACCGGAGUUUCAUUCCAAUAGUUUCAACUCAGUGAUACUAAAUAAUAUUUUUAACCUACCACAUUCUUCCUCUGAAUGGAACCAGCAAUAUGUAUCACAUGUUGAAGCACAAUUUUCGACAAAAGAACAGAGCAGAGAAAAAAAUAUUGAUAACCGUCACCUUAUACCGUUUAGGUCACACACACGCUUCCAAUAAACUUGCACAAAAAUUUUUUUAUUAGACUGGAAAAAAUGUUUUUCAAAAAAGUACUUCUAGAAUUUGGCAGUUUGUGUUUGACUGAUCAAUUUGCAAAAACGCUUUUGCCUUAGAGCAGCAACUUGUGUUUGGCCAAGGUUCCAAAAGUGCUUCCUUUUUCAGCCUUUGAGUAAACAACUUUUGCUACUUCUCAAAAAUACUUAAGCUUGGCCAAAUACCACAACUAUCUAAGAUAGUCACUACCAUUUUUGGCUUCCCGAAAGCUUAGCUAAUCAGACUAUUAACAAUCACUACCUAAUUGUAAUUCAAUCAAUCAGUUCCAAACUGAACAUCACAAACUAAAAGUUCAAUAGUCUUUCCGGAACUCAUGAUACAAACUAAAAGUUCAAUAAUCUUUCCGGAACUCAUGUAUGUCUUUGUAUGAACUAUGAAGACUUAAGGACUCAAAAAACAGAAAACAUAAGCAUAUACCGAAUAUUUAGAAUUUACACUGAGAAACAGAAGACGUAGAGCACCUUCCGAUGCCGACGGAUUCGGUGUCGAGUGAUCUCCGGUGAUCAAUUUACGGCGUCGUCGUAGAACUAUGGAGGAGGUAUGCUGGAGGCAAAGGGAAGAUAGAGGAAAUCGGGUUUAAAGUAUUAUGGAUCCGAACCUCGAUGGAUCAAAGGAAAAUUGACCCGAUUGACUUUGACAUAAUGAAUGUACUCAAUGAUUAGAUUUUUUUACUAGUCAAACUCAUACUUAAUUUCAUAAGAUUGUAAAAUAUUUAUUUGUAGCUACUUUUAAUUUGAUAGGAGUUCUAAAAGAGAAAAGAAUAUUUGUGACUAUUUUUAAUCUUACAUUAAGAAAAAUAUAUUACUCUCUAAAAUCGAAUUUAAACAAAAUAAAGGUAAAAUAUAUACAAAACAUAUCAAAUACUCUUGGACUAUGUGAAAUCGCCUGAAAUAUUGAACAAAAGAUAUUUAUAUCCUCACCGUUACCAAUUUCACCAUUUAUAUCCCUCAAUUGACGGAAAUACCCAAAUCAAUCAAAAUUGAUCCGAUUUCAUAAAAAUUAACCAUACCCCAUUUUAAACCAAUGUCCGACCCAUCAAAUUAAAAUAGAGGAAAAUGUGUAGAUUAUAUAAAAAUAUCUUUUAAUUUUAUAAUCUUGAUAUUUGAAGUUGAAAUUCAAGAGCCAUCAAAAAAAAAGGCAAAACUUUUUUAAACGGAAUAAAAAAGAAAGUAAGAGAAACAAACUAAAACUAUUACAAACUGUUAGUAGUGUUUAGUUCUUUUGUAUAAUAUAAGAAAGAUAGAUGGGACAAUUCCCAAACAAAACUUGGAGAUGUAGGAACUAAGAGCCAGAAAAUCCUCAAUUCUCCAUUGAUGAAGAAUAUAUAUACUCAAUUCUCUACUGAACCAUCAACAGAUUAAAGAAAUGAAGACAUCUUCAUGACCUUAAUAUUGUAAGGUAAAAAAGAACUGUUUACGAAGAUGAAUGUGAUUUUCUCACUACAAGAAUUCAGAGUUUGUCUGUCUAAAGGCUGCAUUAUAACCAUACAUAUCGAAAAGCCUAUUAUCUGAAAUCAUAUGUCCAUCUUCUCUCCCAGGAAAAAUCUCCAUUGGCGGAGCCCAAGGACCUGAAUUCGGGUUGUUAGAGCUAGAGGUUUCUUGAAUCGGAUUUUGUGAAUUAGUAUUGUUUUGGGGUGAGUUCCCAGUUGCCCUCUUGUUGGAUGAGUUGUUUGUUGUCAUAGAUAUAGAUGAUGACUGAUGCUGCUGAUUCUUCAUUGGUGACUUGGGACGAAGAGCCUCUAUUUCAGGUGUUGUAACAACAAGAUGUGGGGCAUCUGGUGGUGGAUUCCUCCCUCCUCCACCCUGCCACACUUUUCCAUCUCUAUCGGCAAAAUUCCGCACAUAGGCCUAUAAAUUUUUCAAAAUCUACAGUCAGUAUUUUAAAGGCACAAGAACGUAACCAAGGCAGCAUUAUACACACACACUAAAUUAUUGCAGUGCACAGGAUAAAGCCAAUCUUAUGAUCUUCGGACAUCUUUGGGAAGAGAUCAGAAAGCACCAAUCUUUGUUUCCAAAUGAAGACAACUAUCGAAAUAUACCAUUGAGAGAACACAAAGGAAAAUGAAUAGAACAGAAUAACUAAGCAGGUCGAUGCAUACUACUGAGAAGAGCAGGAACCACCCGACAAAAUGCAUGUUAUCCCCCUCCCCCCCCCCCCCCCCCCCCCCACACACACAAAACCCCUACCUGAGUUAUUAGGGGGGUGAAAAACAGAGCAACUAUAUGCUCUCCAUAUCUCAUAAAUAAAAUGAACUUAAAGGAAGGGUCGCUAAAAGUUUACCUCUGCAAUGAAAUUCGAUGAAGAUAAUCCAUUACCAACAGUCAGCCAGCCAGAUCGAAUAUUAUGAUCUUCACCGAAGAGCUCAAGCCUUCUCCGGCCAAGUGCAAAAUGCUCAAUUAUACGGUACAUAUCUUCAGGCUUUGCACUUGAUCCUGCAUAAGGGACCAGUAGCAAUUCAAAGUGAGCUCAGACAUUGUGCAUACCCAGUGCAGACAGACAAUGCAGCAUAUUACGUUAAAAUUUCAUUUAUUUUAGGACAGAAUCCAGAUUACGUGCAGUUCAUGAAGCACAUGAUAAUAAGAAUCCAGCAUACAUGCACUUCUAAAGUUUCUCCAGCAGAAGCAAUAGCUGUUACAUAACUUGGAAAUAACAAACCAAUCGAGGACUACCAUGACUUGAACCUAAGUUGCUCAGACUCGAGUGCGGGUGUCUGAUAUAGGUGUGGAUAUAGAGGUCAGGUCCUUCCUGAUCUUAAAUUAAGAUUUGGGGGUACAAAUCCAGGUAUGGAUACAGGUGCUCAGAUUCAGCUAAGAAUAAUUCACAUAUCCAAAAAUAGAAUUACAUGUCUAAAUUAUAAGACAUUAUUUUGAUAACUUACAAGGUAUUUCAAAGAGAAAUUAUUGAUCAAGAAGAGGAUUCCGAAUAAGAUAAAAGGAAAAGGACUGACAUCGAAAUUUCUACUAACAAGUUACUCCAUUUUCUUCAAUUUCACCUUAGUUUUUGUUUUGACUACAAAAAUUAUAGGUAUUUAUACAGAAUUUCUCCAUCAAUUUUCGUCAAAGUACCAAAAUCAGUUGACCAAAUACGGUACGGAUCCCACACCCAUGUCGUAGAGACACUGAUGGGGCACCGAAAGUGAAGAGUCCAAGCAACAUAGACUUGAACAACAGGAGAAGAAAACUGAGGGAUCACUUAGUUAUGAGGAUGAAGGAUAAUAAUUCCGGAAUAAAAUAUGGCUUACUAUUCCGGGUUUGGUUGAAUUUUAAAUUUCGGGAUUAGUAAUUCUAUGUUUAUUUAUACCACAAUUGCAGUAUUAUUUUACACCACAUUCGAUGUGGAAAAACAAUAAUCCAGGGAUAAAACAACAAAAUGACAUAUUUGCCCUUCUCCAAAGCUCUUCUUCGAAGUUUUUCAAGAAAGCCAAUUUAUAAUUGAAAAUAAAAGUUAAUUCAAUGUCAUCUAGUGUGAAACCAAACACAUUUCUUAUGUUCCCAUAUAUCCUAUUUCUAGUAUAAACCAAAUAUCUACCAAUUAAAUUUAUAUCCACUAAAUAAUCUUGCUCACAUACCAAUCAACCCACAAAAGGCUACACGGAAGGCUCUAUUCAAGAUGUGUUCAUACAGAAUUCUGGUAAAAGUCCAGGCUUCAACUGUAAGGCAUAUCCAACGCCAAACAUGCCCGAAAGCAUAAAGAAAGCCCCAAAAAAUAGUGAAAGGAGCAAUUCAUAAGACAGAAUCCCCACUCCAUCAGUCUCUCAGCCUUCCACCCACCCAGGGAAUGGUAAUUGUCCUCAUUUUAUGACCAAACCAAACAAGGAGGAGAACACUGAAGAUGGCUGGUUCUUAUGGCUAAAUUAGAAGCUUUUAGGUGGAUAGCAGGAAUUAGGGAGUGGAGAUUCCUCAGCUACUCUAUGCUGAUGAUACACUGGUCUUUUGUGAUGCCAAAUUGAGCAAUUAUUCAGGUGUUGGCUGGUGUUCUGGAUGUGAUGCAAGGAUAUUACCAACAACAAAUUUGAGACUGCCUUUGGGGGCACAGACUAGGUGUAUGCACAUAUGCAAUGGGGUGAUUAAUAAAUGUGAUAAAAGGUUGACAAGAUGGAAGGCACAAUAUUUAUCCUUGGGAGACAGGGUCAUAAUGAUUAGUAAUGUGUUGCGCACUUAUAUUAUGUAAACCCACACCCCGCUAAGGAGGAGAAAGAUUGGAUUACUUGAGAAGAAACUUUCUUUGACAAAGUAACAAGGGAACUCAUUUAGUUAGGUGGAAAUCUGUCUCAUCCAGCAAAAUGUUAGGGGAUUUGGGGAUCAGAAACAUCAUAUUACAAAACCAUGUUUAUUAUGGAAAUGGUUAUGGAGAAUUGAUAUAGCCUUGUAGAUAUUAGCACUUUUAUUUUAUAGGUCCUAUGCAUUCUAGGAUUGGUUUAGCCUUUCAGAGAUCUAUACAUAUAGAAGAUAUAUAGAGCUUCUGAUAAGUUCUCAUUUUCAUAAUAUUGGCAUGAGAGAUGAGUUUAAAUGAAGGUGCGGGGUCGGUGAGGAUUCAUAAUUUCAUAUAAUCGACCCCAACACCAACUUGUUUGGGACUGAAGCAUUAUUGUUAUUGUUGUUGUUGUUGCCAUAGGUCAGUAGCUUUAUCAGUAUCUUAUUUAUAUAUGAAAACAAACAAUUGGAAAGUGGAUGACAGAAGCAACAUGCAGUCAGUUUCUGCGACCCAUAUUUCAUGAUUAACAUUUCUACUCUGCAGAAAGCAAACAUAAAAUGCACACACAGAACUGUCUGGAAUGAGAAAGAAUCUACCAUAAGGAGGUUCCUCAGCAAUAAUCACAUCUGUGUCAAUAUUCGCAUGAAUUAUAUGGCCAUCGGUACUACGACGAACAGUUCCUUUUAUGCCCAAAAGGCAGUGCUCCUAUACCAUGACAGUGAACAGCAGAACGUAAGUUCAAAAUGAUGGAAAAAUACUAAGCAUGGUGAAAUGAGUGAACGGAAUAUGAACCUUUGUAUGCUGCAAUAAAGUAUGGGAAUCAUGACGCAAUCCUGGAGUUGCAGUGGUCUUAUUUGUUUUCACCCAACAUAUAUCCUCACAUCUGCGGAAUCCCCACUGCAGAAUGGAGAGAACAAUGUUUAGAAAUAAUCACAAUGACCUAAUAUUGAAAACAGCAACCAACAGAUGCAUCUAAGUUGUGAUUGUGCUCAUCUGUGGGCCAGUAGCAGAAGGAAAUAUCAAAAGCAGCAAUCAGCAGAUUCAUGACCAUAGAGUACAACAACAUACCAAGUGCAAUCCCAGAAGUGGGGUCUGGGAGGGUAAUGUGUACACAAACCUUACCCCUACCAUGUGAGGUAGAGAGUCUGUUUCUCAUAAGACUGAGCAUUAAGUGUUUCUCAAAUCGUUUGAACUACAUAGUACAUACCUUCUUCAAACAUUGGCGCCCUUGCUCGAGCCCCACGCCAUCACCAACCCAAAGGAAAACAAAUGAUGGAGUGUCAGCAAUUGCCUGAGAAUAGACAGUUUACAUCAUCUUUAGGCUUGGAAAGGAGAAGCUAAAGGAACUAUGUAGCCAUUUAAAAAAAAUCAAAGUAUAACUAUAAAAGUCAAAAUAAAAGCUGCUAAUAACACAACAAUUUUUGCACAUGAGGUUCUCCACCAGCCUACUCCAUAGCAACAGUAAAAGUAUUUAGACUAAAGAACCAGGUUGACAUGGAAAAGUCAUACCUCAAUUUUGAGAUUCAUUAUUUCCUCAAAUGUCCAGUAUGCCAUAUGGUCAGUGACACCAGGAGCUCGAUGAACAUAUUCCUCCCAAGGGGGAUCAAUUAGAAUGACAUCAAAUUUGGUCCCAAAGAACUCCGGGGAGAGCUCCUGCUCAUGCAGGUCACAUUUGUAAUACAUGGGAGAUGAAGAAGAUUUGACAACAAUCUCAUCCUUCCUUUGAAUAAGUUCUCGAAGCUUGGGAUAGUCCUCAAUAACACUAGUAAGCUCUAGUUCCCUGAUGAAAUUUUGAGGCCUCGUGCCAGUGUCUACAAAAUUUUGGGAAUAAUCAUUCUGCUCACCCCUAGAAGGAGCUUUUCCAGGUGGCGCAUUAGUUCGAGAAGGCACCCAACCUGCAUUAGCUUUAUCUUUAACCUGUCCACGACCUCCUGGUAUUAGUGCAUUAAAAUUUGAACCAGACAUGCUAG
rnacentral:lncRNA from 1 species